rnacentral:rRNA from 1 species
ACGCUGGCGGCAGGCCUAACACAUGCAAGUCGAGCGGAAACGACACUAACGAUCCUUCGGAUGCGUUAAUGGGCGUCGAGCGGCGGACGGGUGAGUAAUGCCUAGGAAAUUGCCUUGAUGUGGGGGAUAACCAUUGGAAACGAUGGCUAAUACCGCAUAAUGCCUACGGGCCAAAGAGGGGGAUCUUCGGACCUCUCGCGUCAAGAUAUGCCUAGGUGGGAUUAGCUAGUUGGUGAGGUAAUGGCUCACCAAGGCGACGAUCCCUAGCUGGUCUGAGAGGAUGAUCAGCCACACUGGAACUGAGACACGGUCCAGACUCCUACGGGAGGCAGCAGUGGGGAAUAUUGCACAAUGGGCGAAAGCCUGAUGCAGCCAUGCCGCGUGUAUGAAGAAGGCCUUCGGGUUGUAAAGUACUUUCAGUUGUGAGGAAGGGKGURWMGUUAAUAGCKKYRYMUCUUGACGUUAGCAACAGAAGAAGCACCGGCUAACUCCGUGCCAGCAGCCGCGGUAAUACGGAGGGUGCGAGCGUUAAUCGGAAUUACUGGGCGUAAAGCGCAUGCAGGUGGUUCAUUAAGUCAGAUGUGAAAGCCCGGGGCUCAACCUCGGAACUGCAUUUGAAACUGGUGAACUAGAGUGCUGUAGAGGGGGGUAGAAUUUCAGGUGUAGCGGUGAAAUGCGUAGAGAUCUGAAGGAAUACCAGUGGCGAAGGCGGCCCCCUGGACA